ensembl:lncRNA LINC02436 long intergenic non-protein coding RNA 2436
GGCACUCUGGGAAGGCAACCUAGGAAGGGUGGGGCCCUGGGGCCUUUUGAGGAGCUAAGUGGCCAAGGAGAGGUGCGUUUAGUUAUCUCAGAAGUCCGUUGCCCUCGUGGUGUCCAUUCUGUAACUGUUCUCACAAGACAAGACAGCCUGAGUUGUUUACAGCCAGCAACUCUUCCUGUCUGAGAGCGGUGUCUCCCGUUGGGUUUCCCUAGUGCCUCACCUUGGUCCAGAUGGCCGAAGGGGACCGUUUCCUGUGGCCUCUUCGCACUGUUCUAGGUGUUAACGAUCCCCCCCGCCCCGCCCCUACUGACUUCCUCAUCCUAGCCUUUUACUUCUUUUCUGCCUGGCCUCUGAUUUUACAAUAUACUAUGGGGAGAAAUGUCUCUGAAGUUUUACUUCAGCCUGAAAUGUAUAAGACAAGCCCUCAAGAGUUUCCAAAAUCAUAAAUACGUUGCUUUGUGAGUCUCUUGUUGGAAGGACUGUCUUUAAAUUAAAGCAAUUAGAGUUACUUUAUAAGAUUUACCCAAAUAUAAGAGCUGAAGAGAAUAAUUCAAAUUGAUCAGAAGAAAAUACUCAAUUACUGACAAAUGUCAAUUACAUCAAUAGCCAUGUUAUGAUGCUGCAAGAAGCCCAUUGCCAGAUGCUGGUGCCUUGACACUGGACUUCUCAGCCUCCAGAACUGUGAGCCAACAAAUGUCUAUUUGUUGUAAGAAAUCUUACUAGAUAAGGGCCGGGCGCGGUGGCUCACGCCUGUAAUCCCAGCACUUUGGGAGGCCAAGGCGGGCGGAUCACGAGGUCAGGAGAUCGAGACCAUCCUGGCUAACACGGUGAAACCCCGUCUCUACUAAAAAUACAAAAAAA